GAUGUUUCUGAGGUAGGGGAAUAUAGGAGUUCUCAGGAUCUAAGGAAGUAGCAAUUGGUAUUUAUUUUUCAGUGUUUCUCUAGCCCAGGGAAUAAUCAGAAAAGAGAAUACAUUUAGAUAAUUGUUCAUGGUCUGCAAGAUGAAGCACAUAGGGCCAGGAUAAGCAUCAGGUCAACGGCUCCUUUCCUGCAGCUUGAGGGCCAGAGCUCCUGAAAACUAGGGAAUAAGGUUCACUUUUCAGAUGGUUGUUAAGGAGGUGAGAGGAAAACCAUCUUGUAAAAAGUGUGAGGGUCAGAUGUGCCAAGGCUGAAGUGAGCAGAGUUGAACACUUCUCUGCUUGAGGACUAUGAUAAAAAUUCUUUAUUUCUGGCAC
rnacentral:lncRNA from 1 species